rnacentral:rRNA from 1 species
AGAUAAUAGAUACCCAGGUAGUCCACGCCCUAAACGAUGUCGACUGGUUGUUGGGGGUUUGACACUCUCAGUAAACGAAAGCUAAACGCGUGAAGUCGACCGCCUGGGGAGUACGGCCGCAAGGUUAAAAACUCAAAGGAAUUGACGGGGACCCGCACAAGCGGUGGAUUAUGUGGAUUAAUUCGAUGCAACGCGAAAAACCUUACCUACCCUUGACAUGUCCGAGAGCCCGCUGAGAGGCGGGUGUGCCCGAAAGGGAAUCGGAACACAGGUGCUGCAUGGCUGUCGUCAGCUCGUGUCGUGAGAUGUUGGGUUAAGUCCCGCAACGAGCGCAACCCUUGCCAUUGGUUGCCACCCGUAAGGGGGGCACUCUAAUGGGACUGCCGGUGACAAACCGGAGGAAGGUGGGGAUGACGUCAAGUCCUCAUGGCCCUUAUGGGUAGGGCUUCACACGUAAUACAAUGGCGCGUACAGAGGGUUGCAAGGAGCGAUCUGAGCCAAUCCGUAAAGCGCGUCGUAGUCCGGAUUGCAGUCUGCAAC